GUUAGCAGGGUCGCUCGUUAUACCGUAACACUGAUCAUCAACGAGCGCCCACCAUUAAUGAAUUUACAAUGAAGUUUUUAAAUGACCAUCUUAAACAGCUGCUCCUCUCUUCAUCUGAAGUUAUUAUUCAGAAAGAAAAGUCAGCUCCAUGAUUACCUUGGCAUAACUGCAAAAAAAUUUAAAUCUGUGAUCUAAAUCACUACCUGAUGUCUGCAAUCUUUGAGGAAAGGCUGAGAAGAUGAGAAGACUGGACAUACUAGGACAGAGGCUUAGUGGACUGAAAGUUAAAGCAGUGUCACAGAAUAAUGUUCAGACAGUCUGCAGCUGGGAUACAUGGAAAAAGAAAAUGAAAGGACUGAGGGUAAACUCUGCAAAGAGGUCUGCCAGCUGAUGUGCUAGCCAACGCCACAAAGAACAAACCUUUUUUUUUUCUUUUUCUUUUUUGCAGUGUUUGUGUGUGUGAUGCCAGGGAAACUUUGGCUUCUUUCAUUCUACAUAAUAUUACCGAGAAGCUUUUUGAAUCAUAUAAACAAAUUGCAUUUGUGUGCAUGAGAGGGGACAGAGAAGCAGGGGAAAGGAUGUUAAGAUGUGUAUGUGUGUGUGUGUGUGUGUCAGCAGGAUCCCCAAACCAACAAUCAGGGAUCAGUCAGAGAGCCUGCUGACAUCAUCAUCCCAAAUAAAUGACAGCAUGGUAAAAAGAGCGCUGGUCCGAGGCCAGCGGGAUCCAACAGUCUCAGAAUCCAUAAGCCAUAACAAACAUUCAAUUUUUCAAAUAAACUUCACUCCGAGGCCAAAUCUGUCAUCUUUUUGUGGCCACUGUGGAACAGUGCUGUCUGACUUUACUCUCACACAAUUUAUUUGAGCCAUGCUGAUUUAUGUUUGUUAUUUUGUUUUGUACACCCACCAUGUUUUCUGUUUUUUAUUGGCACAAUUGUUCUCCAUCUCUCUGUUUAUAAGUGUAUACAGAUUAAACCAGCACCAUGUUUUCCCUCUGGCUGUUGGUGCCAUGAUAUGUGUAUUAUUGCAUGUUUAAGUAUGAGAACUAUUUUCAAGUGGCUUUCUGUUAGGGGCAUGUUUUAAAUGGAAUAACUCCCUUAUUUCUAUAGAAAAUGUGUGUGUCCUGUGUGUUGAAGGCUUAAUUCACCAAAGUUACAAAGACUGAUGAAGGACUUGAUCUGAAUAUUGUGUUUUCUUUAUAUAAUUAAUAUGUUCUAUGCAGAGCUUGGGGCCAAGUCAGAUAUAUUCUAGUUAUUGUUGUAAUGUAAACAUUACUUUUCCUCUAUUUCUUUUUGGGUUAUGUACUAUUCACGUCUCUUGUGGUUCAGUCUUGAGCACACAGAACAUGAAAUAAAUUACUUUUUUCUUUUAUUCUCUGUGUAUAUAUAUAUAUAUAUAUAUAUAUAUAUAUUUUUUUUUUCUUUUCAAUAUCUGUUAAUGUAUGUUUAUUUGUGUCUAUUGACAGUCCCCAGAAAGACUGGAAACUGCGUCAACAGAAGCUGACGGAGAGCCUAUAAACCAUU